CGAAGGGUGCAAGCGUUACUCGGAAUUACUGGGCGUAAAGCGUGCGUAGGUGGUCGUUUAAGUCCGUUGUGAAAGCCCUGGGCUCAACCUGGGAACUGCAGUGGAUACUGGGCGACUAGAGUGUGGUAGAGGGUAGCGGAAUUCCUGGUGUAGCAGUGAAAUGCGUAGAGAUCAGGAGGAACAUCCAUGGCGAAGGCAGCUACCUGGACCAACACUGACACUGAGGCACGAAAGCGUGGGGAGCAAACAGGAUU
rnacentral:rRNA from 1 species